CAAUAGCGUAUAUUAAAGUUGUUGCAGUUAAAACGCUCGUAGUCGGAUUUCGGGGCGGCGCCGCCGGUCUGCCGUUGGGUAUGCACUGGCGGAGGCGUCCUUCCUUCCGGAGACUGUCCCUACUCUUAACUGAGCGGGGUCGGGAGACGGAUCGUUUACUUUGAAAAAUCAGAGUGUUUCAAGCAGGCAGUUCGCUCUUGCAUGGAUUAGCAUGGGAUAAUGAAAUAGGACUUUGGUGCUAUUUUGUUGGUUUCGAACACCGAAGUAAUGAUUAACAGGGACAGUCAGGGGCACUCGUAUUCCGCCGAGAGAGGUGAAAUUCUCAGACCAGCGGAAGACGAACCACUGCGAAAGCAUUUGCCAGGGAUGUUUUCACUGAUCAAGAACGAAAGUUAGGGGAUCGAAGAUGAUUAGAUACCAU
rnacentral:rRNA from 1 species